GAGAAGCGGAUUACAGUAGUAAAGGCGAGAAAGGACAGUGGAAUGGACCAACACCUUAGUCGCAUCUGGCGUUAAGUAGGGGCGGAUGCGCGCAAUGUUUUUGAGAUGGAAAUGACAGGAUUUGGCGAUAGAGUGAACAUGAGGCUUGAAGGAGAGGUCGGAGUCAAAGAGAACACCUAGGCAGUGAGCGUGGUGGAGCUGAUGGUAGCACCGUUGACUUGGAGGGAGGGAGACACAGGAGUAACAACACUUGAGGGAGGAAAGACCAG